UCCAAUCACAGCCCCAUCUCCACCCUUCUUUCCUUCGUUUCACCAAAUCAGGAAGUGUAGUGGACGGCGUAAGGAGUGGCUGUUACCAUUGCUGUGUGACCGCAGUAGAGUCACACUCAGAAGGUUUUCUCAGUCCGUACUCCUUUCUCCCUAAUGGGACGCUAACACGUGUCAUAUUCCCCAAGUUUAUACCCGUCCGAUUAUAUCCAGCUGAGAAUGCCCCACUUUUUGAAAUUCGAUCAGGAUCACACAUUUUCUCUCUCAUUACUUUCCCGAGAGACAAAAAGAAAAUUGAAAACAAACCAACCUAGAAAAUCCUUUCUCUUUCUCUCUCUUCCUCUCUAUCUCUAUCUCUCUCUUUCUUGUCGUUUCUUCUUGGCCGGAAAGUCUGUUUCGAUCCGCCGGAGAAUCUGAGAUUCCGGCUGGUACUGUCUCCGUCGACUGUUGACUUUUCCCUAUUAGGUCUGGGAAUUAGGGUUUCGUCGUACGAGGCUGCGUUCACGUUUUUCGAAGCCCGAGAUCAGUCUAACCCUAGGGGUUGUGGAGGCUCGAUAACGUACGAUUGGGG
rnacentral:lncRNA from 1 species